UACUGUAGGUGGCAAGCGUUGUCCGGAAUUAUUGGGCGUAAAGCGCGCGCAGGUGGUUUCUUAAGUCUGAUGUGAAAGCCCACGGCUCAACCGUGGAGGGUCAUUGGAAACUGGGGAACUUGAGUGCAGAAGAGGAAAGUGGAAUUCCAAGUGUAGCGGUGAAAUGCGUAGAGAUUUGGAGGAACACCAGUGGCGAAGGCGACUUUCUGGUCUGUAACUGACACUGAGGCGCGAAAGCGUGGGGAGCGAACAGG
rnacentral:rRNA from 1 species